CUUUGCCUCAGUUUUAAUUGCUCCUCAAAAAAUAGGGUAUUUGGGUGGGAGAGAGGGGAAACUGGGUGAUGGGCAUUGAGGAGGGCACUUGUUGGGAUGAGUACUGGGUGUUGUAUGUAAGCCAAUUUGACAAUAAAUUAUAUUUUUUAAACAACAGGGUUUUUGUUAUGUAUUAUAUACGUUAACAUACAUGUAUUUGGUACUAGUGUGUUUGCUACCAUUUUUAAAGACUGGCUCACCAGUGUACCAUAAAGUGAUCCACAUGUUGCUGGGCACAUAGUAGGAGUUUAGUAAAUAUCUGUUAAUCAUUGAAUACUGAAACCAGCUUUUUCUAAUGGAUUAUCCAAGUUUCUUGUGCUUUACUGACGAUUCUCUGUGGAAACACAAAAUAGUUCUUCACCAUCAUGACCUAUAUGCUAGUCUGCUAGUUCCCUCUUUCAGAGGCCCUGGGAAAUCACAUUUACUUUGGUAAGCCCCUAGAGUACAGUGCUCUGCCUUGAAAAGCUACUUCUUAACUGUCCCUUCCACCCCCACCCUGAGGGUGCAGCCUCAGUGGGCACUCUGGUCACCAGGAUGUGAAAUGCAGUCAAAGAAUAGAGGGGGGAGGGAGGCAGUGAGAGAGUAGAUGGGCACUCAUGACAGACUGUCUCCUUUUGCCUUACUCUUUAUAUCCUUAUUAAUCUGGGAGUCCUCUCGCCUCAUGUCCUUUCUGGAACAAAGCAGGGUCUAAAUAAAAUGUCAACAAUGUUUUUCUACUCUACCUACUUCUCUAGCUUCCCAGGUUAUUUUGAAAUCUGAUCUGAUUCUUGGAGGCCAAGACUCACUGAUUAGAACAUUUGAUGAGCUUUGUCCUUUCAUCUCAUCUGAAUCCCUAGAAGUAGGCCCAGGGUAAACAUUUGACCAUUCUUGGCCUAAGGUGUGGAAAUUUGGUGUUAAGGGCUGAAUUUUGUCUCCCCGCCAAAUUCGCGUGUUGAAGUCCCAACCCACAGCACCUCAGAAUGUGUCUACAGACACAUUGGAGAUAGGGCCUUUAAAUAGGUAAUCAUGUUAAAAUGAGGUCCUUAGGAUGGGCCCUAAUCCAGUAUGACUGAUGCCGUUAUAAGAAAAGGGAAACCAAGAAGACAGGCUUCAGGAGAAACCAAAGCUGUGGACACCUUGACCUUGGACUUCUCACCUCCAGAACUGUGAGGAAAUACAUUUCUGUUUUUAAGCCACCCAGUCUGGGGUACUUUGCAGCUUUAGCAAAUUGAUACAGUUGGGAGUUAAAGAGGUUCAUCACCACACUUAGGGCUACAGAGAGCUUUUCUCAGCUAAGAGGCCUUGUAGAAGGCCAUAGGGAGUCUGGCUCUCCAGGAUGCAACAACAGAGCCAACACUCUGUCUACCGCCCAGCUCCCUGCCAAGCUGUGCGGGGGGGGGGGGGGGGGGGGGGGGGGGGGGGGGUCACUUAUGCAAUAAUCAAAGUCAACCAACCCCACAACUUCUCACUAAAUUAAGUCAGACAGGUGAUUACCAACACAUGCUCUGUAUUUAAAUAUCACCCAAUGUUCUAUGCAUGGCUCCACAACAAAGAACCAUUCUUGGAGACCUUGCAAAACUCUGUUCCAGCAGAAUUGUCUAUAAAAAACAUCCUCUGAAGGUUAUCUCUCCUCAUUUACUUCCACUGUAAAACUGGAGAUGCUUUUUCUUACUCUGGAAAAAACUUCCAGGUCGUCAUUCCCACUGAGGAAGCGGUCAAUGGGGUCAUUACCCCUCCUGCUGAGUGUGACCUUGUACCAGAUAAGCCCCGAGAAUUCACCAGGUGUGCUGGCUUUCAGAAUUUUGCAAAGUUUUUCUGGAACCCCUGUUUCCUCUUUGCUGUGCUCUCCACUCACUGCUUAUUUCCAUGCUAUGUCUGUCGGUCUUACUACUGUGGAUCCUGGAGAUCGACAACAAAGCUUCAUGAAAUUGUACUUCAAUUUCUGUUAACCUAACCUUAACCUGUUAACUUUCAUUCUGUUAACCUAACCUUAACCUGCAAGACCUCAGUCUUGUAAAAUAAAUGUCCAGUAUUUCCAGUUCCAUGCACCUGAAAUUCUGCAUGAGGAAGUUCAUGACAUUGAUGAUUCUAGCAGAGUAGAUGAGAUUUCACAACCCAUGGACCCAGAGGUAUUACGUGCAACUCUCUUUAUUUCCCCAUAACUGGAUUCCCUCUCUAGCUUCCUCUCCUACCCGAUGGCAGAAAAGUUACUUCCAGGACAAUUCAGACAUGUCUGAGUUUUCAGACUUUUUCAAGUUCACAAUUCAAUUAAUUCAGCUUUGAGCUCUCCCUGCUUUCCCUAGGUGGGUCCAUACAAAGGGGGCUCAGCCGUGGGAGAGGACUCUUGCCCUUUGAACCUCUCUCUGUCUUAUGCUAGCUGAUGCUGAUAUGAGACCUGCUCCAUCCAGGCCACUAUGAUCAUUCCUUCCUUUGACAGCCUUGGCCAUCCUAAUCUGGGGUAUUGACAGACCGUGCUAGUUUUUUUCCUUAACCCCCAGGUCCCUUCGGGUCUCGGGCAACCCCUCUCCGGGGCACUGGCGCUAUGGGAUGCUCCCCAGGGGACGUUCCCAGCCUGGUCUUUCCAGUUUGGACAUUUUCCCCUUCACUGGCUCACCCUCCCCCAAGCUGGUGUCGUGUGGAAGGAAAUCAGGUCCGUGCACGCUUCCCAGGUCCUGCCAGGAAGGGGCCCAGGCUUCCUAAAGUUUUCCAGGAAAAGUCCUCCUCCCCCGCUACCCCCCAGCUCCGCCCUUCUGCGGGAGGGGGCAGCGUGGUUGGCUUUAAGCUUUAACUCUUCCCUCACAGCAGUGCUCCUUCUGUGUCUCACGCCAUCCGGAUCUCCGAUCUCCCGGGGAGGAGGCGGUGGUGGGAGGGACACAACCUCUGCCUCAUCAUAUCUUUUCCAAAUUUGUAUUUUCUUCGUCAGCACUGACCAAAUGGGCAUGCUUUGUUCUGAGUUCUUCUCCUGGAGGGUCCGUGACAAAUCUGAAUAUGUCCAAGGAAACAAUUGGGUCAACGAAGGAUGCUUAUCUUGGAGAAGGAAAAACCUCUCAGCAUGGUGGAGAAUGAGGUAACAUGAAGAAGUCUCAGGAAAAGAGAUUGGAACAGAAGUGGAUUUGCUAUGGCUUUCAUGGAAUAGAAGCUUCUGGGCCCCCCACCUGCACUAUCUUCUUUGAAGACUUCCACCUAAUAUCACGUUCAUCAUUGUUAUUCUUUUUUUUUCUGAAGGAGAGCCCUCCCCCCACCCCAAGUUGAAUAAGAUCAGCUCCACUAAUUCUGGAUCCACCCCUGAGCUAGAAUUAAUCUACAUAAUUCCUUGGGACAAAACUAGGAUUAAUAGUAGAAAGUUACAGUGAGGCAAACAUUGCUCAAGAUCUGGAAAUUCUCCCAGUUAGAGCUAUUAAAAAUUGGGAUGGGCUGCAGAAAACCAGAAAGUGCGUCAUUGGAUGCCUUGGGUAGAAGCGAAUGAGGCAGGGGUGUUGUAAGAGGGGCUGAUGAUCUCUCCCAACUCUAGGAAUCAAAGUCUCUGAGAUAAACUACAGAGAGGGCACUGAGACAGCAUUUGCUUGCCUAUGUAUUAAUAGUAGGGACCCCAAGUCCAAUAGCAGGGACCCCCAAGUCCAGGCACGUAUAGUUUGCUAGGUUUAAGUCACUGUAUUAAAAAAAAAAAGUAAUAAAAAUAUUCAGAAGCAUUCAGUGUUCCACGAUGAACUUUCUCAAACAUAUUCAAACCAGUAGGAAGUCACUGAAUCGAGUUGGCAAUAGACUCCUAAUCUAUUCCUCCUAAUCUCCUGCUCCUCCAGCCAUGCUCCCAGAUGCUGGAUUCCUUGCUCAAGAUCAGCUAGAGGCGUGGUUGUAUUCCUUCGGUAAGGUCUCCAGCGCAGAGAGAAGUGGCCAGCACCCCACCAUCACACUAAUGUUUGUUGCCGUUGAACUGUCAAGCGCAGUGGCCACUGGUCCUUUCAGGCACAUCAGUAGACGCUUCCUCAGGACGAACCACUGGCGAUCAUUUCACUACUAGUGAUGCCGUCAUAUGCUGCGGAUUACUGGCGUCCCAUUUUCAUCAGGAAGAACUUCAGCACUGCAUUCAAGGCCAAACACAUCCGUAUCCAUCCCAUAUUCUGACCUUUAAAAGUUUGUUUUCUUGGACCACUCACACCCGAUAUGACAUGGAUCAUGGUUCUCGGGACAGCAGAGACAACCCUAGGCAUUUCACUAGAGAGAAUUCAAUGUAGGAAAUUGGCUGUGCAGGUAAGAAGGCAAACACAGAAAAGUGUUUAGUGAGCAGAGAUAGUGGGGGCUGGCUCAGGAAACAAGGCAGAGGCUGGAUCACCAGAACCUGCCAGCUGGGAGGGGUGGCCUGAGGCGGGGAGCUGGGCCUCCAUGGAGAGCUGUUGCACAGGCAGGGCAGAGGCGUGGAAGAGGGGCCUUGAGGCCAGACUGCUGCCUGGUGGUGCUGUCACCUCUGCAAGACAUGGGCAGACUGGUUUGGGGGUCUGGAAAAGAGCUGGGAGUCUGCCAGUGUGAUGGUGACAAGAACAGCAGGCCAGCAGGUGGCCAUUCCCUCCUCAAGCCUUCCAGUGUCCUCUCAGUGCUCCCACUGGUGGGUCCUAAUGGGGAGCCAGCUGGCAAAGGGAAGUGUAUUUGCAGAGCCUUGACCUUGGCCUCAAACUGCAGAGCAGAGCAGGGCGGUGCUGAGCUGCGAGGCAAUGAUUUAAUAACUAGCACAGCCUCACCUGCCCGCAGGACACCCAGACCCCUCACCACCUGGCCUGCUGAUCACACUUGCCUUCCCCUCGUCUCCUUCCCUCCCCAAUGAGGGGGUGCAGUCCCUCCCCGCCAUCUCCCGGGGAGAACUGAUGAUGCCCACCUCGGGUUCCGUUGUACCUGCCCAGGUAAUUAAGAAAGCACUGGGAACACAUCAACAUGUCUGUUUCUCCCUGUUAAAAUCCUGAAGCCCCUUGAUGGAAAAGGGUGAGUUUUCAUCAUCGUGCCUCCAAAGCUAUGGUUGGCACAUAGCACAUACUUUAAAAACAUUUGUUGAGGGAGCGCCUGGGUAGCUCAGUCCGUUGAGCAGCUGACCUCUGACUUCGGUUCAGGUCAUGAUCUCAUCGGGCUAGCUGUUAUCUGCGCAGAAGCCACUUUGGAUCUUCUGUCCCUCCCUGGCCCCCUGCCCCUUCCCUGCUUAUGCUCUCUCUCAAAAAUAAAUAAAUCUUUAACAAACAAACAAAA